rnacentral:rRNA from 1 species
AUUGAACGCUGGCGGCAUGCCUUACACAUGCAAGUCGAACGAGUGGCGGACGGGUGAGUAAUGUAUGGGAACCUGCCUGGUGGAGGGGGAUAACUACUGGAAAGGGUAGCUAAUACCGCAUACCAUCAGAUGUGCCCAGAUCGGAUUAGCUAGUUGGUGGGGUAACGGCUCACCAAGGCGACGAUCCGUAGCUGGUUUGAGAGGAUGACCAGCCACACUGGAACUGAGACACGGUCCAGACUCCUACGGGAGGCAGCAGUGGGGAAUUUUGCACAAUGGGGGCAAGCCUGAUGCAGCCAUGCCGCGUGUAUGAAGAAGGCCUUCGGGUUGUAAAGUACUUUCAGCGGGGAGGCGGUAUCCGCAGAAGAAGCACCGGCUAACUACGUGCCAGCAGCCGCGGUAAUUC